GAGUUUGAUCCUGGCUCAGAACGAACGCUGGCGGCAGGCUUAACACAUGCAAGUCGAACGACAUAGUGGCAGACGGGUGAGUAACGCAUGGGAACGUACCCUUCACUACGGAAUAGCUUCUGGAAACGGAAGGUAAUACCGUAUACGCCCUUCGGGGGAAAGAUUUAUCGGUGAAGGAUCGGCCCGCGUUAGAUUAGUUUGUUGGUGGGGUAAUGGCCUACCAAGACUACGAUCUAUAGCUGGUCUGAGAGGAUGAUCAGCCACACUGGGACUGAGACACGGCCCAGACUCCUACGGGAGGCAGCAGUGGGGAAUCUUGCACAAUGGGCGAAAGCCUGAUGCAGCCAUGCCGCGUGAAUGAUGACGGCCUUAGGGUUGUAAAAUUCUUUCGCCAGGGAUGAUAAUGACAGUACCUGGUAAAGAAGCCCCGGCUAACUUCGUGCCAGCAGCCGCGGUAAUACGAAGGGGGCUAGCGUUGUUCGGAAUUACUGGGCGUAAAGCGCGCGUAGGCGGGCUAUUAAGCCAGAUGUGAAAGCCCGGGGCUCAACCCCGGAAUUGCAUUUGGAACUGGUAGCCUAGAGACCAGGAGAGGUUAGCGGAAUACCGAGUGUAGAGGUGAAAUUCGUAGAUAUUCGGUGGAACACCAGUGGCGAAGGCGGCUAACUGGACUGGUACUGACGCUGAGGCGCGAAAGUGUGGGGAGCAAACAGGAUUAGAUACCCUGGUAGUCCACACCGUAAACGAUGAAUGCUAGUUGUCUGCGCGCAUGCGUGCAGGUGACGCAGCUAACGCAUUAAGCAUUCCGCCUGGGGAGUACGGCCGCAAGGUUAAAACUCAAAGAAAUUGACGGGGGCCCGCACAAGCGGUGGAGCAUGUGGUUUAAUUCGAAGCAACGCGCAGAACCUUACCCGCGUUUGACAUGCCCUGUUUGGUUACCAGAGAUGGUUUCCUUCAUUUAGUUGGCAGGUGCACAGGUGCUGCAUGGCUGUCGUCAGCUCGUGUCGUGAGAUGUUGGGUUAAGUCCCGCAACGAGCGCAACCCUUAUCCUUAGUUGCCAGCACGUUUGGGUGGGCACUCUAAGGAAACUGCCGGUGCUAAGCCGGAGGAAGGCGGGGAUGACGUCAAGUCCUCAUGGCCCUUACACGCGGGGCUACACACGUGCUACAAUGGCAGUGACAAUGGGAUAAUCCCAAAAAGCUGUCUCAGCUCAGAUUGUCCUCUGCAACUCGAGGGCAUGAAGUUGGAAUCGUCUAGUAAUCGUGGAUCAGCAUGCCACGGUGAAUACGUUCCCGGGCCUUGUACACACCGCCCGUCACAUCAUGGGAGUUGGAUCUACCCGAAGACUGUGCGCUAACUUCGGAGGCAGCAGGCCACGGUAGGUUCAGCGACUGGGAUGAAGUCGUAACAAGGUAGCCGUAGGGGAACCUGCGGCUGGAUCACCUCCUUUCU
rnacentral:rRNA from 1 species